GUGGCCAACUGGGAAAGUUUACGCAGAAUUUGUUGUCCAGAGUUUUAAUUUGGGCUCAAUCACACACGGCCUGCAUGGCUGACUUUAGUGUCCAGCCCCCCAUGAGGCUUCGGGCUAACACCUAUAGUCUCUAGUUCCUCCAGGGGUCAGUACUUAUGUGAUGCUUCCCAAAGCCCUUAUCAUAAAUCAUUGUCCAGUUCCAAAGCCCCCAGGCAAACAGAGACACUCUGUGAGGCAGGAUAUUCCAGGGCCCUAGGGAUUACCUCCUGAGACAGAAGGCAAAAGCCUGACCUCUCUUUACUACCUAAGAGCCAUUGUUCAUCUGCUUUGAGAAAGUAGAUUUGCUAUCUGCGUGAUGCUGUGGCUCACUCUCACCAGCUCUGUGAUCCUGGGUAGCAAACCUAACACUUGUCUGGGCCUCAGUUUCUUCAUCUGUGGGUGGACGGAUCUCCCAGUUUGGGAACUGUCUUCCAAAUAACACUAGAGGAAAGCAAAGGCAGGGAAAUGCCGUUUGGAGUAGAGAGGCCCAAGUUUGCAGCCACUGACACUGGGAGAGCUGUGUGCUUGUUCACUUGGGGCUGAGUCAGAUGCUGUUGGCCUGAAUGCAUUUGGGAAGAGAAAACAACCUAAUUUUCCUGGGGGCUGGAAGGGAGGCCUUGUCCUUGUGCUAAGGGCUUCUGCCAUAGCUGGUCAGACUAGGAAUUUUUAGUAUCAUUUAAUUAGGAAGUACAGAAUUAAUGACCUAAUCUCUCCCAUGUUCUUUUAAGAGACCUCACCGCCCAAUUUCCCACCAGGUGUCACUUUGUCUACAGGAUGAAAUGCACACUUCACAUGGGAUGGAUGAUGGCAGCACACAGAGGCAGUAUUAUCAGUUUCCUCCCAGAUUUACUCACGUUUUCAUAAGACAUGGAUAUGGUGACAGGAUGGACAGAUGGGUGACCAUUGCAGGACAAGAAAUCAGUGUAACAAAUUGAAUUUAAAAAGAAAGAACUCAAGGAAGAAGACAGGCUGCUUUCUCAAGUAUAGGCCUCCAUCAGAGUCUUGGUCCUGAGUUUUGCAACUGUCUACAGACUUGAUUUGUGAAAAUAGCUGGGGUUGAGCAGGCUCAGGUAGACUGACACUGGCCAACCACACUCAUGAAUGAGUAUGGAUUAGACUUUAAUUCAUGAUUUUAUAAGGAGAAUUCUGCCCUGGAUGGUCAGUUAAUUGUUUCCCUCAUGAACACAGUCCACGAGGAGAGCCAGAUUCCCGUUUCCAGUUUGACUUCAGAGCAGAUGGAUGAGCAUCUUGGUGAAUGUCCUCAGAUCAUGGCCCCCAUAACUAUGUGGAGACAGGGAAGGAUGUUGCUAUACUCCUGAGAAGUCUACUUACCUGGGGAAAACCCAUAAUUUCUGGUGUUUAUUUUCCUGUCCCGACUCCCUGGUAGGUUAGACCCCUUUCAGUAACCUACAUUGUCCUGCCAACCCCUGCCACCCUUUAGGUUAAUUAAGUCUUAGGAAUAAACACCCAGGAUUUGCCUUAGGUGUUCCCCCAAGUCUUCCUCAAUAGCUCACUGGCAGAAAGGCUGGAAAAGUGGCUGCUGUAGAUGCUAAUUUCAUCCACCGUGCCUUGCAUUCUCCAAUUUAACUUUCCAGGGAUAAAGAUUUCCAAUUCCCGAACUGCCUUUAUUAGUUCAGCGCCUAUAAAGAAAUCUAGACUCCGCAUCUAGAGAUCCUGUUUCAACUGAUUUAUGGUGGGCCCAGAACAUCAAUAUCGUUUUUUUUUCAAGCUCCCCAAUUUUUCUAGUUGAGAACCAAGACUAAGGCAACUGGAAUCCUAAUUCCCAGUCCUCUUGUCCACUAGUGCAGGUGGAUGCACUUCCUGAAUGCCUGCCCUCUGCUGGGCGCUCUCCGCAACAGGAUGUUUCCCCAUCAGCCUCACAGCCACUCUGGGUGUCGGCAUUAUUGUUUCCCAAGGUUUCAUCCAGGAACGGAGGCUUAAGAGAAUUCUAAGAUCCUCAAAUUAGUAAAUGGCAGAGUCUCUAUUUGAACUUAGCCCUAGCCUGACAUUAAACCUCAUGCACUUUCAAUACACGCUACCGUAUUUGAGCUAAGUGCUCAAAUGUCCCACGUUUCAGUGGAGGUGUUAAAGCUACCAUCUACUAUGAGGUGAGGUUUGUUAUCCAGGACUUGAGCUCCUAGGGUAAAAGUCUCCCCGCCCCCCACCCAAGCACAGAUGUUUGUUUUAACCUAAUCCUUUACAGGUUGUUGGCCAUGCAACCCAGGCAGCUGAUGAUUAUGCUUUGUCAUCAGUAGAGGACAGACAGAUGGACUUAAUGAAAGAUCAUGACCUUACUAAUAUGUUAAUCUCAGUUUCUUAACAAGAAUGCAUAUAUAAGUAGGUGACCAUAUCUGGGUCAUUUCUUUAUCUUGAUUGACUUGUUAUCCCGGGGCAUGUGUGAGGGGAUUAUGGAUGUAUAUUGAUGCAUGCAUUUGGUGUGUUCUGUUAAAGAAGCCCUUCAUCAGUGGAGGAAGCCAGCAGGCCAGCUUUACAGAUAACCCUGCUUUUCACCCCGCAUUAUGUUCCAUUCGAGCCAUGUAGUUUUAAGUGUGUACGUGUAUCAUUUGUAUUGUUUUUUUUUUUUAUUUUUUUUAACAGCAAGAGAGACAGAGUGUGAGCAGGGGCUGGGGGGCAGAGAGAGAGGGAGACACAGAAUCCCAAGCAGGCUCCAGGCUCUGAGCUGUCAGCACAGAGCCCAACACGGGGCUCAAACUCAUGGACCACAAGUCAUAAGACCUGAGCCAAAGUCAGACACUUAACUGACCGAGCCACCCAGUCACCCCUAAAUGUAUGCACUUAUCAAAGAUACCCUGAUGUGCUACUGAAAACUAUGCCUAUUUGGCACAUAAAAAUAAAACAACUGUGUAUUAUAAAGUGGACCUUUUUGAAAUAAUAGAAUUCUGAUAUUAAGUAAGCAUUGAAUAAAUAUUCAUUUUGUUCACACUUUCAGACUUUAGGAAAUCUUGAUGAUGUACACGGUUAAUAUCUGUUUAAGAAGCUAUCUUAAGUUUCAAUGGAUACGUUCAUUUGAUAAAUUUAUAAGGAGAUGUAUUUAAGUUAUUUGAGUUCUUCUCAGCUAAAAGUUGGGAUCAUUCUUUAUCACAUGGGCAUUAACACUGUCAUAUUACAUGAAGACGUGAGAAGGUACUCCAACUGUGAGAAGUAAGAGAGCCUGUAUCCCCAGUGCUGGGCUUUCUCCUAAACGGUGGGUUCAAAAACUGUGGCCCAUUGUUGUCAAAGUUUGAUCGGAACAAAGCUACGUCCGUUUGUUUCACAUUAUCUCUGAUUGUUUCUGUGCUUCAGUGGCACAGUUGAGUAGUGACAGAGAACAUAUCUGGGCCUGUACAGGAAAAGUUUACCAACUCCUGCCUGAAGCACAAAUGUAUCAUCGUAAUAGUCUCCUUUAUGUGACAUACCAGUGUCUCAAAUUGCACAAGUUCAUAAUGGUUCUUUUUUCAUUUUACCCCAAAA